GUCACGACCCGGAACUCCCAUCGAGCCCGUGACAACCGCCGCGAAGCCUCGACAAACAUUCUUCCCCCGAAUGCCUUUUGAGACCUCGCAAGGCUUUUGUACCAGUUUUUCCAUUCCUCUCUCUUUCUUCUUUUUUUUUGAAUAAUAAAAUAAAAUAAAAAUAUUAAUUAAAAUAAUCUAUUUUAAUGUAAAACAAUAUAU
rnacentral:lncRNA from 1 species